AUACCUAUGAGGAUAUCGAAUAUAGAGAACACCAUCGUUCGGGACUGAAUGGCUUAAUGCCUUGGUGACAUUCUGCAAUUCUGAGGCGU